GGGUUGUGAGGUUAAGCGACUAAGCGUACACGGUGGAUGCCCUGGCAGUCAGAGGCGAUGAAGGGCGUGCUAAUCUGCGAUAAGCGCCGGUAAGGUGAUAUGAACCGUUAUAACCGGCGAUACCCGAAUGGGGAAACCCAGUGUGACUCGUCACACUAUCAUUAACUGAAUCCAUAGGUUAAUGAGGCGAACCGGGGGAACUGAAACAUCUAAGUACCCCGAGGAAAAGAAAUCAACCGAGAUUCCCCCAGUAGCGGCGAGCGAACGGGGAGGAGCCCAGAGCCUGAAUCAGCAUGUGUGUUAGUGGAAGCGUCUGGAAAGGCGCGCGAUACAGGGUGACAGCCCCGUACACAAAAGCGCAUGUGCUGUGAGCUCAAUGAGUAGGGCGGGACACGUGGUAUCCUGUCUGAAUAUGGGGGGACCAUCCUCCAAGGCUAAAUACUCCUGACUGACCGAUAGUGAACCAGUACCGUGAGGGAAAGGCGAAAAGAACCCCGGCGAGGGGAGUGAAAAAGAACCUGAAACCGUGUACGUACAAGCAGUGGGAGCCCCACCACUAAGCCAGUGGUGAACUCCACAUACGCAUCCUUUGCUGAGGAUACGGUUAAGGGAGCGAAAGCGACGUUCAACCGCAAAAGAAGCAGAGGGGGCUUAGUGGUGGGGUGACUGCGUACCUUUUGUAUAAUGGGUCAGCGACUUAUAUUCUGUAGCAAGGUUAACCGUAUAGGGGAGCCGUAGGGAAACCGAGUCUUAACCGGGCGUUAAGUUGCAGGGUAUAGACCCGAAACCCGGUGAUCUAGCCAUGGGCAGGUUGAAGGUUGGGUAACACUAACUGGAGGACCGAACCGACUAAUGUUGAAAAAUUAGCGGAUGACCUGUGGCUGGGGGUGAAAGGCCAAUCAAACCGGGAGAUAGCUGGUUCUCCCCGAAAGCUAUUUAGGUAGCGCCUCGUGAACUCAUCUCCGGGGGUAGAGCACUGUUUCGGCUAGGGGGUCAUCCCGACUUACCAACCCGAUGCAAACUGCGAAUACCGGAGAAUGUUAUCACGGGAGACACACGGCGGGUGCUAACGUCCGUCGUGAAGAGGGAAACAACCCAGACCGCCAGCUAAGGUCCCAAAGUCAUGGUUAAGUGGGAAACGAUGUGGGAAGGCCCAGACAGCCAGGAUGUUGGCUUAGAAGCAGCCAUCAUUUAAAGAAAGCGUAAUAGCUCACUGGUCGAGUCGGCCUGCGCGGAAGAUGUAACGGGGCUAAACCAUGCACCGAAGCUGCGGCAGCGACACUGUGUGUUGUUGGGUAGGGGAGCGUUCUGUAAGCCUGUGAAGGUGUGUCGUGAGGCAUGCU
rnacentral:rRNA from 1 species